rnacentral:rRNA from 1 species
UGGGGAAUAUUGCACAAUGGGGGAAACCCUGAUGCAGCGACGCCGCGUGAACGAAGAAGGUAUUCGUAUCGUAAAGUUCUGUCCUAUGGGAAGAUAAUGACAGUACCAUAGAAGAAAGCUCCGGCUAAAUACGUGCCAGCAGCCGCGGUAAUACGUAUGGAGCGAGCGUUGUCCGGAAUUAUUGGGGGUAAAGGGUACGCAGGCGGUUUAAUAAGUCGAAUGUUAAAGAUCGGGGCUCAACCCCGCAAAGCAUUGGAAACUGAUAAACUUGAGUAGUGGAGAGGAAAGUGGAAUUCCUAGUGUAGUGGUGAAAUACGUAGAUAUUAGGAGGAAUACCAGUAGCGAAGGCGACUUUCUGGACACAAACUGACGCUGAGGUACGAAAGCGUGGGGAGCAAACAGG